rnacentral:rRNA from 1 species
AUUGAACGCUGGCGGCAGGCUUAACACAUGCAAGUCGAGCGGAGAUGAGGUGCUUGCACCUUAUCUUAGCGGCGGACGGGUGAGUAAUGCUUAGGAAUCUGCCUAUUAGUGGGGGACAACAUUCCGAAAGGAAUGCUAAUACCGCAUACGACCUACGGGGGAAAGCAGGGGAUCUUCGGACCUUGCGCUAAUAGAUGAGCCUAAGUCGGAUUAGCUAGUUGGUGGGGUAAAGGCAUACCAAGGCGACGAUCUGUAGCGGGUCUGAGAGGAUGAUCCGCCACACUGGGACUGAGACACGGCCCAGACUCCUACGGGAGGCAGCAGUGGGGAAUAUUGGACAAUGGGCGGAAGCCUGAUCCAGCCAUGCCGCGUGUGUGAAGAAGGCCUUUUGGUUGUAAAGCACUUUAAGCGAGGAGGAGGCUACCUGGAUUAAUACCCAAGAUGAGUGGACGUUACUCGCAGAAUAAGCACCGGCUAACUCUGUGCCAGCCGCCGCGGUAAGAC